AUGUUUCAUACGAUCAUUGAGAAGUUGCAUGUGCGCUUGUUGAUCUUAAGUUGUCGAUGCAUCUCACGGAAGUUGACAACAUGCUCCACCUCUUGUUCCAGGAGGCGGACUUCUUCAGACUUCUCAAAUCAUGCGGGUUGCCCUUUCACCCUCAUCCCCCAAAAUCAUGUUGUGCAACAUUACAAAACAUGUCAUGAGUUGUCAAAGUAUGCAGGUCACCCCUUCGUCCUCAUCCUUCACAAUCAUGUUGUGCAAGAUUACAAAACAUGUCAUGAGUUGUCAAGGUGUCUCUGGUUCCCACAUCAUUGCAACUCCACGAACAAUACCCCAACGAACUUGGAGCACUUUAAAUGCCCUCUCCACAUCCUUCCUAGUAUCUUUUUGCGCUUGUGCAAAGAGAGAUUGUUUUCUACCAUGAGGAUUGUAUAUAGCCUUCACAAACGCCGCCCAUUGAGAAUAGUUACCAUCAACAAAGUAGUAUCACAUGUUGUAGUUGUGACCGUUAACAGUGUAGUUGCACGCCGAAGCCUCCCCAUCACAAAGUUUCUUGGACAAAGGAGAUCGUCAGAGCACAUUGAUGUCAUCGCUAGAACCAAGUGUGCCAAAGAAAGCAUGUUAAAUCCAAUUCUUUUGAUGCCACUGCUUUAA
rnacentral:rRNA from 1 species